rnacentral:rRNA from 1 species
GAUGAACGCUAGCGGGAGGCCUAACACAUGCAAGCCGAGCGGUAUUUGUUCUUCUGAACAGAGAGAGCGGCGCACGGGUGCGGAACACGUGUGCAACCUGCCUUUAUCUGGGGGAUAGCCUUUCGAAAGGAAGAUUAAUACCCCAUAAUAUAUUGAGUGGCAUCACUUGAUAUUGAAAACUCCGGUGGAUAGAGAUGGGCACGCGCAAGAUUAGAUAGUUGGUGAGGUAACGGCUCACCAAGUCAAUGAUCUUUAGGGGGCCUGAGAGGGUGAUCCCCCAAACUGGGACUGGGAAAAGGACCAGACUCCUACGGGAGGCAGCAGUGAGGAAGAUUGGACAAUGGGUUAGCGCCUGAUCCAGCCAACCCGCGUGAAGGACGACGGCCCUAUGGGUUGUAAACUUCUUUUGUAUAGGGAUAAACCUACUCUCGUGAGAGUAGCUGAAGGUACUAUACGAAUAAGCACCGGCUAACUCCGUG